CAGUAGCCGCGGGAAUACGUAGGUCCCGAGCGUUGUCCGGAUUUAUUGGGCGUAAAGCGAGCGCAGGCGGUUUGAUAAGUCUGAAGUUAAAGGCUGUGGCUCAACCAUAGUUCGCUUUGGAAACUGUCAAACUUGAGUGCAGAAGGGGAGAGUGGAAUUCCAUGUGUAGCGGUGAAAUGCGUAGAUAUAUGGAGGAACACCGGUGGCGAAAGCGGCUCUCUGGUCUGUAACUGACGCUGAGGCUCGAAAGCGUGGGGAGCGAACAGGAUUAGAUACCCCUGUAGUCCCUGUCUCUUAUACA
rnacentral:rRNA from 1 species